rnacentral:rRNA from 1 species
UGCUAAGGAAAGCCCUUCGGGGCCUACCGACCCACAUAUUACUAGGUUAGCAAUGGAGCGACGGAGAAGGAUAGAUGAGCCCAGGUGAUGGUUAUCCUGGGGUAAAUGUGUAGGAAGACUGAUAGGUAAAUCCGUUAGUCACAUAUUCUGAGACAUGAUGCCGAGCCGCUUUUAGGCGAAGUCAUUGAUUCCAUACUUCCAAGAAAAACUUCUAGUUAGUUUUUUUAGUGCCCGUACCCCAAACCGACACAGGUGGACAAGUAGAGAAUACUAAGGCGAGCGAGAGAACUCUGGUUAAGGAACUCGGCAAAAUAGUUCCGUAACUUCGGGAGAAGGAACGCCCAAGUAAAGUGAUUAAUUAACUUUAUAAGCUUGAACGGGCCGCAGUGAUCAGACUCAAGCGACUGUUUAUCAAAAACACAGGAGGGUGCAAAGUUCUAAUACAACGUAUACCCUCUGACACCUGCCCGGUGCUGGAAGGUUAAGUGGAGAGGUUAGCUUCGGCGAAGCUUUGAAAUUAAGCCCCAGUAAACGGCGGCCGUAACUAUAACGGUCCUAAGGUAGCGAAAUUCCUUGUCGGGUAAGUUCCGACCUGCACGAAUGGUGUAACGAUUUGAGUACUGUCUCAACCAGAGACUCGGCGAAAUUGCAAUGUGAGUAAAGAUGCUCACUAUGCGCGACAGGACGGAAAGACCCCGGAACCUUUACUGCAACUUGAUAUUGAAUGUUGGUGUGCAGUAUGCAGGAUAAGUGGGAGACUUUGAAACAAUCACGCUAGUGGUUGUGGAGUCAUCCUUGAGAUACCACUUUCUUCAUAUUGACCUUCUAACCUAGAUCCGUUAUCCGGAUCAGGGACAUUGUCUGGUAGGCAGUUUCACUGGGGCGGUGGCCUCCUAAAAAGUAACGGAGGCGCUCAAAGGUCACCUCAGCGUGGACGGCAAUCACGCAUUGAGUGUAAGUGCAAAAGGUGGCUUGACUGUGACACAAACAAGUGAAGCAGGUACGAAAGUAGGAACUAGUGAUCCCAUGGUUGCAUGUGGGUGCGCCAUGGCUCAUCGGCUAAAAGGUACUCCGGGGAUAACAGGCUUAUACCCCCCAAGAGUCCAUAUCGACGGGGGUGUUUGGCACCUCGA